rnacentral:lncRNA from 1 species
GGGCAAGUGACGAGGGCACGGCCAGAAACGCAUUGGCGUCAAGGAAACCACGACCCAUCUUCCUGGAAGGAAACUUGGGGACACUUAUGAAGAGAAGACUAGGAAGGACCGGAGUAGAAGCACUAAAGGAGGUCUUGCUCUGCCACCCAGGCUGGAGUGAGGAACCAUGUGGAAGGGAUAUAAAUAUCCCCCAGGAGGGACUCCAGUGGAAGUAAGCAAGGAUGAUCCUGGUGAAGUAAUGCAGCUGUGAAGCUCACCUGACCAGCUGUACAGUUCCUGUUGUUGGUUUCACAUAAAGUAAUUGCACAUUAUUUUGUCAUAUUUUAUGUUAAGAAGUUACCGCACUUUUUUUUUUUUUUUUUUUUUUUUUUUGAGACAGAGUCUCGCUGUGUCGCCCAGGCUGGAGUGCAGUGGCGCGAUCUCGGCUCACUGCAAGCUCCGCCUCCCGGGUUCAUGCCAUUCCCCUGCCUCAG